UCUGGUGGAUUCUGCAUGGACGAAGCUGCAUGGACGUUGGCUGAUGAGUUAAACAAGGAGUACUCUGUACUAAAGUCCUCGUUGGAGCUGGAAGAGUCUCCCCUGGCUCACUGAGUGCAGGUUCCACAGUCUCAUGGCAUCGACGAGUGUGUUGUAAAAAGAAGAAAUGACAGAGG